UACCCGCACCCCGAGUGGUCGGGACGAUUAUUGGGCCUAAAGCAUCCGUAGCCGGUUCUACAAGUCUUCCGUUAAAUCCACCUGCUUACCAGAUGGGCUGCGGAGGAUACUAUGGAGCUAGGAGGCGGGAGAGGCAAGCGGUACUUAGUGGGUAGGGGUAAAAUCCGUUGAUCCAUUGAAGACCACCAGUGGCGAAGGCGGCUUGCCAGAACGCACUCGACGGUGAGGGAUGAAAGCUGGGGGAGCAAACCGG
rnacentral:rRNA from 1 species